AUACGACUAAAGCACCCCCAUGACAACAAAUGCAGAAGCGGCAACAAGCACUGCGCACAACGACCGAUCUACAUAAGUGACAGUGACCUACCCAAGCCACUCAGCAGGCAUGUCCAUAUAGCCAAAUACCGGCCCCUGCCUCGACUGAUGCACCCAAUGACCCCGAAGGCAAAUAGUAGGGACGCAUCGUUAACCCUGACCCCGACCACUCAC